rnacentral:rRNA from 1 species
GAUGAACGCUAGCGGCAGGCCUAACACAUGCAAGUCGAGGGGUAGCAGGAUUAAGCUUGCUUAAUUGCUGACGACCGGCGCACGGGUGCGUAACGCGUAUGCAACCUACCUUAUACUGGGGUAUAGCCCGGAGAAAUUCGGAUUAAUCCCCCAUAGUACUAAUGAAUCGCAUGGUUUAUUAGUUAAAGCAUUGCGGUAUAAUAUGGGCAUGCGUCCUAUUAGCUAGAUGGUGAGGUAACGGCUCACCAUGGCUACGAUAGGUAGGGGGCCUGAGAGGGUGGUCCCCCACACUGGUACUGAGACACGGACCAGACUCCUACGGGGGCAGCAGUGAGGAAUAUUGGUCAAUGGGCGCAAGCCUGAACCAGCCAUGCCGCGUGCAGGAAGAAUGCCCUAUGGGUUGUAAACUGCUUUUAUUUGGGAAUAAACCUCUUUACGUGUAGAGAGCUGAAGGUACCAAAUGAAUAAGCACCGGCUAACUCCGUGCCAGCAGCCGCCGCCG